rnacentral:rRNA from 1 species
GAUGAACGCUGGCGGCGUGCCUAAUACAUGCAAGUCGAGCGAACAGAUAAGGAGCUUGCUCCUUUGACGUUAGCGGCGGACGGGUGAGUAACACGUGGAUAACCUACCUAUAAGACUGGGAUAACUUCGGGAAACCGGAGCUAAUACCGGAUAACAUAUUGAACCGCAUGGUUCAAUAGUGAAAGGCGGCUUUGCUGUCACUUCUAGAUGGAUCCGCGCCGUAUUAGCUAGUUGGUAAGGUAACGGCUUACCAAGGCAACGAUACGUAGCCGACCUGAGAGGGUGAUCGGCCACACUGGAACUGAGACACGGUCCAGACUCCUACGGGAGGCAGCAGUAGGGAAUCUUCCGCAAUGGGCGAAAGCCUGACGGAGCAACGCCGCGUGAGUGAUGAAGGUCUUCGGAUCGUAAAACUCUGUUAUCAGGGAAGAACAAAUGUGUAAGUAACUGUGCACAUCUUGACGGUACCUGAUCAGAAAGCCACGGCUAACUACGUG